rnacentral:misc_RNA from 1 species
GCCAGCUGUGAUGUUGAUGAGGCAAGCAUCAAAGAAUGUCAAGUUAGGAAACCUUGACAUACCAGUGAAUACACAGUUCUAUUUGGCCAUGACUGCUGUCCAUCACGACAAGGAGAUCUGGGGAGAUGAUGCCCAUGAAUUCAACCCGUUGAGAUUUGCUGAGUCACGGAAACAUUUAGCCUCAUUUUUCCCAUUUGGAUUAGGCCCCAGAAUCUGUGUGGGCCAAAACUUAGCUCUUGUUGAGGCUAAAGUAGUCCUGUCAAUGAUCAUUCAGCAAUAUUCUUUUUGCAUUUCCCCAUCAUAUGUUCAUGCUCCGACUCAGGCUAUGACAUUACAACCUCAAUAUGGUGCUCAAAUACUCUUUAGCAAGAUUUCUUGAUUGAAUAUUUGCUGGAGAGAUGCUCAGGCUUGUCUCUUAAUAAAUCUUUGCCACAGAGUAACUCGUGCUCACUGACUCUUUAUGAGCACUAUAAACGAUAACAGUCAACAAAGGAAGUAGUAAUAUGUACUGAAGCACUCUUUAUUAGGAGGGAGCUUCAAAAAUGUAUUGCUGAGACCUUGAGUGAAAUAUUUGUAGUGGAUGUAUAUAGUUUUUAUCGACUCGUAUAGUCGGUUUUUGUACUUGGUAAAUUAUAAGUAUGGUAUGACAGUCAACU